UCGUAUCCGGAUCCACGUAAAAGAGGCAGAACAGAGCAUCAAAAUUCAUCUGGCUUUGUCCUUUCCAUAUGUAUAUUUCUCUCACCUGGAAAACCGCCAUGGUUGGUCACUUCCACGAGCUCUUCUUCCUCCUCCUCCUUCCUCCUAGAUCCCGGACCUUCGCUGCUGCCCUGCUAUUGCCUCCCCUGAUGUUGCGCUGCUUCUGUUCGUGUUCGAUUCCGUGGAAUGACCAGAAGUCGUGAUCAUUGGAUGAUGUGGCCAUGGCAUUACCUGCAACCAGAAGGCAGAAAUGGGAACAUCAUAAGCCCUCAGUUCAUCCCACACAUGGCGAACCAUAUGUGUGCCACCCUGCAUGCCAACUACAGCUCCAGAUAUAAUCCAUUCAGGCAGUUCAGGGGGCCUCCCAAUAGUCCCUGUGAAGUGCUUGAGGAGCUCAGUGGGUGAGUUGCCGUGCACUAGACUUCCUUGGAUUGAAUUAUCAUGUAUCUGCCAGCCCAGUAAAAGAGAGGAUGAAAUUAGACGGGUUCAGGACGGUGUAUAAUCUCCACUGUACACUUAAUUUACUGGACCAUUCGCCUGUGCCUAUACAAAGUACGUGACUCUUACCCAAAAAAACAAGUACGGACAUUUUUUUC